rnacentral:rRNA from 1 species
AUUGAACGCUGGCGGCAUGCCUUACACAUGCAAGUCGAACGGCAGCACGGGAGCAAUCCUGGUGGCGAGUGGCGAACGGGUGAGUAAUAUAUCGGAACGUGCCGGUCGUGGGGAGUAACGUAGCGAAAGCUACGCUAAUACCGCAUACGAUCUACGGAUGAAAGCGGGGGGAGUCGCAAGACCUCGCGCGAUUGGAGCGGCCGAUAUCAGAUUAGGUAGUUGGUGAGGUAAAGGCUCACCAAGCCGACGAUCUGUAGCUGGUCUGAGAGGACGACCAGCCACACUGGGACUGAGACACGGCCCAGACUCCUACGGGAGGCAGCAGUGGGGAAUUUUGGACAAUGGGCGCAAGCCUGAUCCAGCAAUGCCGCGUGCAGGAU